CUGUCUGUCCUGCUAAAGCGCUGUCCUCCACAGACCCUAAGGAGAACAAAGAAACAUAUUCGGGACUUAAAUGUCAUAUGAAUUGAGUUAUUGUGCCAGAGGAGUGUGGUUGAAAAUCAUAUUUGAUGUGUAUGAUCGUAAAUACUUGUGAUUCAUGUUUAGACAAAUACCACCCACUUCAGGUGCUGGAAUAAGGAAAUGAACCCUGCGGUGUUUCAUGAACAACAUUAUUGUGUACAAAUAUUUAGUUACUUUUCUUACAAGAUAACUAGAUAAACAGCUUACCGGAUUUAUCGCUCUUGACUUGACUUGCCAUCGCUGCUUCAGCGGAGAGAAUCUGAGCGACCCUGAGGAAGGUUUAAACAACAAACUAACAACAGCAAACACAGAAGUGACUAGUCACCAAGCGCAACAGUUAACCUAUGAGAUGGCACUGAAACGUUAACCAAUCACAGGCCACUACAACCUUAACCAAUCAUAAGUCGGUAAAAUGUCAGCCAAUCAGAGGCGGUCUGUCGCGGUCGAACCUUUGGUCGAACUGGUCUGACUCGGUGAAGUUACAAACUUCCGCGUUGAAUUCUUCCUUUCUUUUUUUCUUUCUUUGUGACAAAAACAUUUCAGCAUAACAUCACACGCGGACAUAUAACAACCUUCAAUCACUAUUAUAUUAGAUAAUAUUAUAUUAUAUGACAUUAUAGUAUGAUAAUUAUUGAAUUCUUUCAUUUCUUUUGCUGUAACAAGUUGGGCUGGUGUGGUUACACGUGGUCUGCGGUUGUGAGGCCGGUUGGAUGCACUGCCAAAUUCUCUGAAACGCCUUCGGAGACGGCUUGUGGUAGAGAAAUGAACAUUCAAUUCACGGGCAACAGCUCUGGUGGACAUUCCUGCAGUCAGCAUGCCAAUUGCACGCGCCCUCAAAACUCGCGACAUCUGUGGCAUUGUGCUGUGUGAUAAAACUGCACAUUUUAGAGUGGCCUCUUAUUGUGGCCAGCCUAAGGCACACCUGUGUAAUAAUCAUGCUGUCUAAUCAGCAUCUUGAUAUGCCACACCUGUGAGGUGGAUGGAUUAUCUCUGCAAAGGAGAAGUGCUCUCACAGAUGAAGAGAUCAUGCUUUACAGCUAUUAAUGACAGAUCAUGAUCAUGAAUGUAGUGUGCAGGAUUGAUAAACAUUACUAUAAAAUAAAAUGUUAUGAAUUUAAUUUUUUCAUAGGCCUCCUUUAAUUAAUCUUUUUAGUUUCAGCACAGAGAGUUUUCUGUGCACUAAUAACUGGGAAUGCCAUCUCAUCUUAAAAAUAUAUACAGUAUGAUACAUUUUUUUUAUACAAACAGUAAAAAGGUACAGUUAUUGUAAAAUAAUACAUUUGAACUAUUUGUAAUUAAUAUUUGUAUUUUUCUGAAAGGCUUCAAUGAAAGCCAGGUAACCAUGUUCAUUAUUUUGAUUCACAAAACACAUUAAUUCUUAAUUUUGUGCAUACUACGCUGAAAACAGUUCUGUUCAAUGAUGAACCGCAACUCAACGAAUUGAGUUACAAAUAUGAUAAAUAUAUCUAUAGAAAGCUUUAAAUUACUACUUUAAAACGAAAUAAUUCAAAUCGAAAACAAAACUCUCUUUUUCUGGAGGAUGCAGCCUUCCGUUUGAGAAACGGCCUAUGAGUACACCCGCCAUUCAGAUAUGGGCCGUUUCUCAAACGGAAGGCUGCAUCCUCCAGAGGUCGAUUUGUAGGCUGCAUACAUCAUGCAACCUGGUUUAUUUAAGUUAAUCAAGCAUUACAUUCGCAAGUCAUAAGCAUAUUACAACAAUUUACACUUAACUAAGAAUAAUGGUCAAAUUUAUAACCAUUAAUAUACUAAAAUAAGAUCUUCUUUGUGACGUAUGCAGCCUACAAAUGCGACCUCCGGAGGAUGCAGCCUUCCGUUUGAGAAACGGCCAUGAUGACUCGCACCACCAUUUCAUAAGCUUCAAGAUGGCGGAGAACAAAUACGAAAAAUUAUGAUUACAUCAGGCAGGGGCGUAAAUUUCAUCUAACAGUAGGGGGGGACAAUAAACAUAAAAUUUCUCAAGAGCAAUUUUUGAAGGGGACACAAAUAAUACAGCCAAAAUUGUACUUGUAAGGAUAGACAUGUGUACACAGCAUGGACCGUGUUUAAAUAUGAGUUCAGUUCACCACGCAGUCAUAUUAUAAUUAUUAUUUUGUGUCAUUAUAGUAUUUUAGGUUUCGUCUGAAACCCAGUAUCUCUUUAGAUAUUCAGCCGCAUUAAGCCCACUGAUCUGCCACUUAACAUUAUAUUGAGCAAAACCCAACACAUCGGUAGGUCUACAAUAUUAGCCUAAUAUCAGUUCACACACAGGCUUAUCGCCGUUUUAGUUGCAGUGGGACAAGCUACGGUAUUAAAUUUGUUAACCUUAUAAUCGCUCAUAGAAAAACUAAUUUAUUAAUGAUCCAGCAUCAUCUGUAUUAAAGAGAAAGAAUAAUUUCACCCGAUGUUUAAAGAGAAUAAAAUAGCCUUGACAGCCUAAGUUACUUACAUGACUAACUGUUACUGAGGAACUUGCUCUCUCACACCGGACUCGUGUGUGUAUCGGUAAAAGAGGAAAGCAGGCAGUGGACCAAACCACUGUGAGGCAACAGAGGGGGGAAUCAAAACACUUCUGAACUUAAAACGGUUUUUUGUGUUUAUUUUGUUUUACUACUCACACAAUUAAUUUAAGUAUAUGUCCAUUGUAUUAUUUUUAAUACACAGAGUCGCUUGUAAUGAUAUAUUUAGGGGGGACAACCCUCAGCGAGGGGGGGGUCCUGUCCCCCCCGUCCCCCCCGGGAUUUACGCCUAUGACAUCAGGGCACCAACUACUCAGUGCAUGAACAUCUUGUUUUAACCACAGACACAAAUGUUAUACUACAAUUCAUGCACAAUCAUGUCAACCAGAUACUGAGAGACACAGUGCAUCAUCGUGUCAUGUGUGCUGGGAUGCAGUAUUUUGCACUUUGUAGAAAUAGUACGGUGGCUGAGAGAUCUCAAUGCGUUGCAACUUCAGAAAACACAUGCAAAUAGAAAAAGCACCAGCAAAUCAAGAACAUAUCUUCAUCAAUUUGACAGCAGGUGCUGCAAAUGUUCACAACACAAACAAAUAAAGAAACGCACUGCAAAUGCUCACAACACAACCAAAUAAAGAAUUGUAUUUGCGUUUCUUGUGUUGUGAGCAUUUGCAGUGCAUGUGUUGUCAAAUUGAUGAAGUCGUUUUCUUAAUAUGCUAUGCAGGUGUUUUUUUUAUUUUUUAUUUUUUCCUAGUUGCAGCGCGUUGAGCUCUCUCGGCCACCGUAUAAUAGAGUGUGUUGACUGAAAUAAGUUUGUAUGAAUAAAGGUUUUGUUUUUGGAGAAUCAUAAUAUCUCUUAUCUGUUGUAUUUGAGCAGGACAGGGAUGCACUUUGGUGACACAUGAAACAAAUGCCCAACAUUGUGUGUCUUUUGUGUCUUUACAUCAUUUCCAUCAUGUGCUUGCAGAUCACAGGAAGAAUUUACUGAUUCAAAUGUGUAGUGCAGAGUUACAAGAAAGCAUUUCCUAAAUUUCACAUCAGAAUUUUUUAUACUGUCAUAAAAUUGUACUGUCAUUGUAAAGUAUAUAUUUACUUUCCUUUGCCAAUUUUACCUGUAUUUACUUUCUUUUCAUAUUUGGCGACUUUUUGUGAAAAAUUGAGACUUUUGUGGGUGGUUCUAGAGAUUUUCUGAGGGAGGGGUUUGGCAACACGGUGCGCUGACUGCGCUCAGCGCUCGGGAGAACGACGAUUAUUGGUAAGUGAGAAUAUUAAUUAAUUUUACAUAAACCCUUGUCAUUUGUAGUAAGCAGCCCGUUUCUUUCAAGAAGCUAAAAGAAGAAAGGUCGUUUAUCGCGUUGUCCAGGCCCACGCAAUUCUCCGCCGGGAGGUUUGUCAUUUUUAACAUUAAUCCCUAAAGUAUCUUGAUAAAACUGUUGUGAAUUGAUCAAUAAUGCUGGCGAGAGUUCAUGUUAUAGCCUAACGUAAUAUUUUUUGCCCUUUAGAUUGGACCUAUAUAUACAGGAAAAGAUGAAAAAAUUUCCAGGGAAGUUCUCCGUCGCCACGACGGAUUUCCGUUAAUUGCAGGGAGUCUACGACGGAUUUCCGUUAAUUGCAGGGAGUCUACGACGGAUUUCCGUUAAUUGCAGGGAGUCUACGACGGAUUUCCGUCAAUUUGAAAAAAUGAGGGGGAAAGAAAAAUGUAGCGCAUUGUUGUUGUUUACACCAAAAAUCAUCCCCGCCAAGUCUGCAGCUUCUCACUGACUACGUUUACAUGGACAUCAGUAAUCAAAUUAUUUACCUUAUUCUGAAUAAAACAAUAUUAUGACUGAGGUGUUUACAUGAGUUGCUUUUAGAAUAAUCCUUUCAUGUUCCCGUUUUACAUGUUACAGAUCGAUUAAUGGCACGCGUCAUUACGUCCCCAUGCGACGCUAUCCGACGUCCUCCAGAAUUUCACGUAUAAACAUCUUCGUGAUGAUGCCAUAUACAGUUUUGGGUGUUUCAUUUUUAAUUUUAGGAAAGCUUCAAGUGCAGUUAAUUAUUUGUACAGACGACGGCGGUGUUGAAGCUCUUUUAUUUGCCGUCAAACGGUUGAACACUGCCGUGUGUGUAUCCUGUCGCAAAAUGCGCCGAAAAGUCCUGCAGGAAGGUAAUAAUGUGAUUAAGGUGUCCUAAAAUAGGAAUACUCCACAUGUCCUCAUUCCAUUAUUGUUUACUUUGAUUAUGACUUUAGCUGGAUUAAGGUAAUCAAAAAUCUGUUUACAUGGUAGACUCUUAAUCGGUAUUUAAUUGUAUUAAAAUCGGAGUAUUGAUGUCCAUGUAAACGUAGUCAGUGAUUCAUGAUUACCCAUUCAUAAAGACAGUCACUUGCUUCACCCUUGAAUGAAGCAGCCGUUCGAACGAAUCAAUUGAAUAAAUGAUUCAGUGCUAAAAUCAGUGACAUACCGCCACCUGCUGGCGGUUUCAGUUUCAUUUUUAGCGUAAAAUUUCAGUUAUUUAAAUAAUUUAAUAUUUCUGUAUUCAAAAAUUUAUAUUUAAAACAUUAAUGCCCACAUGAAUCUAUGAAUUUAAUUGCACUCACCUUUGAGCCUCAUAUGAUUGGUUACUUAUUUGUCUUAAUCUACUUAUUAUAUUGUUUUAAAUAGAAAUUUAAAAAAAGCUUAUAACCAUACGUUUUUGAAUUUGACAAAGAUGAAAAUGAUGCCAUUGCAAAGGUGAAAAGAAAAUACCCCUGUAAGUCACUUUAAGGAGUCAAAUGUCUCGUAUUAGGAAUGCUAAUUUUUGAUCAGAAUUUGAUUAUUGAUCAGAAGGUGCUCCUAAUUUUUUUUAAAUUAGGAGGACCAGCGCCCCUAAAAAGAAAAGUAAGCACAAAGCCAUGUGUAACAUAUUAGAUCCAUGCAUGAGGUCUUAAAGAGACAGCAGCCUAAAUAAACCUGCUGCUGUCUUUCAUUAUACAGUGAAGACUAUCCAGUGUUAUUUUACAGUUGAAUAGAUUAUAGUUAGACCUAACUGAAAAAAAUUAAGUACUGAUCAUUUUAAUUUGUAUCUUGUUGUUUUUGUUUGUGCUAUUGAUUGUAAUUAAUUUAUUUGUUCUUACUUUAUUAUUUACUAAUUGUCUUUUUUAGUUAAUAGAAUAAUUCAAUUCUGAGUGCAGGUGAUUCUUGGGUGGGUAGGGGGCGUGGUCCAUGGGAAAUAGUGCUGCCACCACAGUCACUUCGUAUUAAGAAGGCUAAUUUUUGAUCAGAAUUAUUUAAAAUUCUUUUUUAAAGGGGAUUUGUGGGGGUGAAAGAAUGGAUGAAACGCAUUUGUCCGUGUUUCACUCCAUCUCAAAUCGCGCUCACGGAAAGCGCUCGAGAAACAGUAUAUCUUCCGCGGCUCGAUACGCUUUCAACUCGCUAUUUUUUUAGUCUUUAGUAACAUUCACGUUACAUGCUUUGACUGAUUCUUACAUAGAUAGGGUGACAGCGCACCGCAUUAAAAGAAAUGAUCAUUCAUGUUUUCAUAACCGCUGGCCAAACUCAAAAACAAAAUUAAAACAUCUAUGAGAGUAAGGUGUUUCGGGGGCCCUAUGCAGCUUGUGUAUUCUGCGUAUAGGGACGAUCGGCUCUGGACAGGUAUGGCUGUGGAAUGGGGUUUGGCCAAGGAAAAAUUUUCAGUCAAAAGAUUUUUUUUUUGCUUUAACCCCUGAGUUUCAGUCAAAUCGCCGUCAGUCUGCCAUUAUAAACAUGAAUUCAAACCAAGAAGAAUAAAGAGAGAAGCGGCUGUUGGAGAUGUUUCCAUUUUUUCUGUGGAUAACUGAGUAUUUGGUGUUUGCAGUUAUAGUAUAGUGAAAUAUAAAUAUUUGUUUUGCUGAAGUAAUUGUAUAUUAUUCAAAACACACUGUAUUUGUUGUAGAUGCUCAUCUAUCCCAGAGAGCACUGUUAAAGUUUUAGCUCCACCUUAUCAGAGAGCUGAAAAGUGGGAGUCAGAGGAAACAUGACCAACCUGCUGCAAAACAAUAACACAAAAGGUCUGGACUCUGGAGUGCAACAUUACUUGUUUGGUCAUCUACAUUCAGAUGAAAACACCACACUUCUCUCUAAUUCAACUAAGUUUUAAUGUAAUUAUGAGAGAUUCUUUUCUUUUUCCUGUUGUACUGUACUCUCCAUAGGUCUAAUAAAUGUUUAUCUGACUUGUAUCCCCAUUUUAGGAUGUCAAGCCUACUCAACGCAAAGAGAGUUAGCAUCAAAAUGGACGUGUCACUGACCAAUAACACAGAGAUGCCAGAAGUAUCUGUUUGCAGUCUACUUUUUGUUCAGUAUGGAGCAUCCAAAAUCCAUCACUCAGUUAAUUUCAAUCAUUACUAUUUAGCCCUUCCCAGUACUGAAAUUGUCCUGGGUCCUUUGUUUUUAUUGUUUAAAUGCUUAUCUGAAUGUAAAAUUAAUAUUUAAUGUUUAUAAGUAAAUAAAAAAAACAAUACUACGGUUAGUCUUUUAGCUCCCUUUUCAGAAACAUGUGGUUCACCAUUUUUCAUGGGUUACAGAACUGGGGAAAGUUGCAGCAUACAAAAAAAAAAAAGUCUGACUACUUGGUUUAUAGGUUUAUAGGAGAAUGUGGAGUAAAUACUUGACAUUUAUUUAAGGUAAAGGGUAAUGACCUGGUGGUGAGAUGCAAAAUAAGAUUGUCAUUAAUAUACUAUUUGAUGACAAACUUUUCACAUUCUAAUUUUACUUUAUUUUAAAAUUAUUUGCGCAAGUUAACUUUUUUUUUUUUUUUUUUUUUUGGUGGUGGUUUCUA